rnacentral:rRNA from 1 species
UCCUACGGGAGCAGCAGUGGGAAUAUUGCACAAUGGGCGCAAGCCUGAUGCAGCCAUGCCGCGUGUAUGAAGAAGGCCUUCGGGUUGUAAAGUACUUUCAGCAGUGAGGAAGGUGGAUAUGUUAAUAGCAUAUUCAUUUGACGUUAGCUGCAGAAGAAGCACCGGCUAACUCCGUGCCAGCAGCCGCGGUAAUACGGAGGGUGCGAGCGUUAAUCGGAAUUACUGGGCGUAAAGCGCAUGCAGGUGGUUUGUUAAGUCAGAUGUGAAAGCCCGGGGCUCAACCUCGGAAUUGCAUUUGAAACUGGCAAACUAGAGUACUGUAGAGGGGGUAGAAUUUCAGGUGUAGCGGUGAAAUGCGUAGAGAUCUGAAGGAAUACCGGUGGCGAAGGCGGCCCCCUGGACAGAUACUGACACUCAGAUGCGAAAGCGUGGGGAGCAAACAGGAUUAGAUACCCUGGUAG